rnacentral:rRNA from 1 species
UACGGAGGGUGCAAGCGUUAUCCGGAUUCACUGGGUUUAAAGGGUGCGUAGGCGGAUCAGUAAGUCAGUGGUGAAAUCUCCGGGCUUAACUCGGAAACUGCCGUUGAUACUAUUGAUCUUGAAUAUCAUGGAGGUAAGCGGAAUAUGUCAUGUAGCGGUGAAAUGCUUAGAUAUGACAUAGAACACCGAUAGCGAAGGCAGCUUACUACAUAUUAAUUGACGCUGAGGCACGAAAGCGUGGGGAGCAAACAGG